rnacentral:rRNA from 1 species
GAUGAACGCUGGCGGCGCGCCUAACACAUGCCAGUCGAACGAUUAAAGCACCUUCGGGUGUGUAUAAAGUGGCGAACGGCUGAGUAACACGUGGGCAACCUGCCCCUCUCAUUGGGAUAGCCACGGGAAACCGUGGAUAAUACCGAAUACUUCGGGACUUCCGCAUGGAAGACUCGAGAAAGCUCCGGCGGAGAGGGAUGGGCCCGCGGCCUGUUAGCUUGUUGGUGGGGUAAUGGCCUACCAAGGCAAUGAUGGGUAGCUGGGUUGAGAGACCGACCAGCCAGAUUGGGACUGAGACACGGCCCAGACUCCUACGGGAGGCAGCAGUGGGGAAUCUUGGACAAUGGGCGAAAGCCUGAUGCAGCGACGCCGCGUGCGGGAUGAAGGCCUUCGGGUUGUAAACCGCUUUCAGCAGGGACGAGGCGAAAGUGACGGUACCUGCAGAAGAAGCCCCGGCUAACUACGUG